rnacentral:rRNA from 1 species
UCGCCUKGUUUAUCAAAAACAUGUCUUUUAGAUAUUUAAUUUAAAGUCUAAUCUGCUCCAUGAUAAAUUUUAAAUAGCUGCAGUAUUCUGACUGUACUAAGGUAGCAUAAUCAAUAGUUUUUUAAUUGAAAGCUGGAAUGAAUGAUUAAAUAAGGUAAAUAUUGUCUCUAAAUUAAUAAUAAUAGAAUUUUUUUUCUAGUAAAAAUACUAGAAUUUAUUUUAAAGACGAGAAGACCCUAUAGAAUUUUAUAUAAAAUUUUUUUUAUAAAUUUAAAUUUAAUUAAUUAUAAAAAUAUUUUAUAUUUGGUUGGGGAAAUUAUUAAAUUAAUAAAAUUUUAAUUAAAUAUAACAAUAAUUAUUGGAUAUUUGAUCUUGAAUUUUUGAUUAUUAGAAUUAAUUACCUUAGGGAUAACAGCGUAAUUUUUUUAGAGAGAUCAUAUUGAAAAAAAAGUUUGCGACCUCGAUGUUGAAUUAAGAUAAAGUUUUAAUGUAGAAGUUAAAAAUUUUUGGUCUGUUCGACCAUUAAAAUCUUACGUGAUCUGAGUUCA